rnacentral:tRNA from 1 species
GCUGGCGAAGCUCAUUAGGAAGAGCAUCGGCGUUGUAACCCGAUGGUGUCGGUUCGAAUCCGACCGUCAGCU